CAGAUCCUGCAUGUAGCAUCGCAGUUCAAAGCACAGCUCGAGGGGCCCAGUCACAGAACCAGUCAGCAAGCCAAGCAGGUUGCUAUGGUCACCACCUCUGUUCCCUGCCUGCCACACCAGGUGUUGGUGCACUUCCUCCCCAGGGAGGUAGGAACAGCCACCUUCAACCCCCACCACCAAAAGCUGAGCCUGGAUGUCCAAACUGAUGAAGCAGCCCACACACCAAGAGGGUGUGGAGAGUUUCAUCACUCACAGUGCGGCUUUCUGAACAGCAGGGCAGGCUCCCAGCAGGACAGGAGAACUUUGCGAGGAUUGUAUCCAGUCUCAUCUUAGGGAGAAUUCAAACCAGGCAAGGGUUAUAGAAGAAAACUACCUUGAUAGUCAAAGAGUCAGAAGGGCCAAGGGUCAACACGUUCCUGGAAUAUAGACUGUCAAGUGGUGUCCACACUUGGACCUGGAGGGAAGAAGAGGAGCCCAAAGAGAACCUUCAGGCCAGCCACAGCCUUAGCCUUUAGAGAAGGGUCGUCCUCCUCUCACAGAGUGGACCUCCAGGAAAUGCUUUGCCUUUACCUAUGCUGCACAACGCUGGGGCUCUGCAGGGAUCACAACCAACUCUCCAGUCCAGGCCACCUGUCAGGUCCAAGUUCACCACAAUCAGCUUCCAAUUUGGGUCAAGUAGAACCUGACUUAGAGGAAGAAUUUGAAAAGGAUCUCAAAGCGUGUUCAUAAAGCCAGUAAAGAAGUUUCCGGCUCCUCCUUAACCCCUCUCUGAAUCUCAACCUCAGGAUCCAGGUGGUUGGG
ensembl:lncRNA